UGUGCGCUUCCAAUCUGUUAGGUACACUUUAUUGUCCCUGAGGGAAAUUUGUCUUAGGCUCAGAAAUACAACCACCACAUCACAUACAACGCAUAGUAGUAAAGGAAAAAAAAAAAAAAAAAGAUAAU